rnacentral:rRNA from 1 species
UACGUAGGGACCAAGCGUUGUUCGGAUUUACUGGGCGUAAAGGGCGCGUAGGCGGCAGAUUAAGUCAUCUGUGAAAUCUCCGAGCUUAACUCGGAACGGUCAGGUGAUACUGAUCUGCUAGAGUGCGGAAGGGGCAAUCGGAAUUCUUGGUGUAGCGGUGAAAUGCGUAGAUAUCAAGAGGAACACCUGAGGUGAAGACGGGUUGCUGGGCCGACACUGACGCUGAGGCACGAAAGCGUGGGGAGCAAACAGG